AUUGCAAUGAGAACAAUUAAAAACCCUUAGCGAGAAUCAAGUGGAGGACAAGUCCGGUGCCAGCACCCGCGGUAAUUCCAGCUCCACUAGCGUAUAUUAAAGUUGUUGCAGUUAAAAAGCUCGUAGUUGAACCUCUGUCUGGGGCUAGUUUUGGCUUUGGUCAGGCUAGUUCUAGGCAUCCGCCUACAAGACUUAGAGGGCAUUCAGUUGUUCACUAGGAGGAGUAGGCAUUUUACUUUGAAAAAAUUAGAGUGUUUAAGGCAGGCAAUCGCCCGCAUAUAUUAGCAUGGAAUAAUAGAAUAGGACACUUUUCCAUUUCGUUGGUUAUUGGAAUCGUGUAAUGAUUAAUAGGGACAGUUGUGGGCAUUUGUAUUUAAUUGUCAGAGGUGAAAUUCUUGGAUUUAUUAAAGACAAACUAACGCGAAAGCAUUUGCCAAGGAUGUUUUCAUUAAUCAAGAACGAAAGUUAGGGGAUCAAAGACGAUCAGGUACCGUCCUAGUCUUAACUAUAAACUAUUCCGACUCAAUGUUUGACUGGCCUAUAUAACCAGUUGAGCGUUGUAUGAGAAAUCAAAGUCUUUAGGUUCUGGGGGGAGUAUGGUUGCAAAGCUGAAACUUAAAGGAAUUGACGGAAGAGCACAACCAGGAGUGGAUUCUGCGGCUUAAUUUGACUCAACACGGGGAAACUUACCAGGUUAAAACAAUAGUGGGAUUGACAGUUUGAGAGCGCUUUCUUGAUUGGUUGGGUGGUGGUGCAUGGCCGUUCUUAGUUGGUGGAGUGAUUUGUCUGCUUAAUUGCGUUAACGAACGAGACCUUAACCUGCUUACUAGACUGGCGAUCAUCAAUCGUUAGCUCUUCUUAGAGGGACUUUGGUUGUUUAACUCCAAGGAAGUUUGAGGCAAUAACAGGUCUGUGAUGCCCUUAGAUAUCCUGGGCCGCACGCGUCAUACAAUGACUAGUUCAGAAAGUUUUCUCCUGACCCGAAAGGGGAUGGGUAACCUUGAUAAUACUAGUCGUGUUAGGGAUCGAUCUUUGCAAUUAUAGAUCUUGAACGAGGAAUUCCUAGUAAGUGCGGUUCAUCAGACCGUACUGAUUACGUCCCUGCUCUUUGUACACACCGCCCGUCGCUUCUACCGAGUGGGUGGUCCGGUGAGAUAAUUGAACUUCGCAGGUAACUGAGAGGAAAGAUUAUCAAACCUAUCCACCU
rnacentral:rRNA from 1 species